rnacentral:rRNA from 1 species
AUACAGAGGGUGCGAGCGUUAAUCGGAAUUACUGGGCGUAAAGCGCGCGUAGGCGGCUUAUUAAGUCAGAUGUGAAAUCCCCGGGCUCAACCUGGGAACUGCAUCUGAUACUGGUAAGCUAGAGUUUUGGAGAGGGAAGUAGAAUUUCAGGUGUAGCGGUGAAAUGCAUAGAGAUCUGAAGGAAUACCAGUGGCGAAGGCGACUUCCUGGCCAAAAACUGACACUGAGGUGCGAAAGCGUGGGUAGCAAACGGGAUUAGAAACCCUAGUAGUCC